CCUACGGGAGGCAGCAGUAGGGAAUCUUCCACAAUGGGCGCAAGCCUGAUGGAGCGACACCGCGUGAGUGAAGAAGGGUUUCGGCUCGUAAAACUCUGUUGUUGAAGAAGAACGUGCGUGAGAGUAACUGUUCACGCAGUGACGGUAUUCAACCAGAAAGUCACGGCUAACUACGUGCCAGCAGCCGCGGUAAU
rnacentral:rRNA from 1 species